GUUUGAUUUGAAAGAUGACAGAAUCCAAAAAUGACAUUCCAGUAUUACCAAAAGCUCUUCCAAAUGUAAAAGAAGUUAAUAAAGUAGCUCCUUCAAAUGAUGAAGAUGACGUAGAUUGUUUGAAUUUCUAGAUCAUAAUUACUGUAUAAAUCCAAAUCAAUUAUUCAAAAAAAGAAGAAAUUUCAGUUUGAUUCCUUCAAACAAAAGGAAUGAUCUACAUGUAAACGAG